rnacentral:rRNA from 1 species
UACGGGGGGGGCAAGCGUUGUUCGGAAUUACUGGGCGUAAAGGGCUCGUAGGCGGCCAACUAAGUCGGAUGUGAAAUCCCCAGGCUUAACCUGGGAACUGCAUCCGAUACUGGAUGGCUUGAAUUCGGGAGAGGGAUGCAGAAUUCCAGGUGUAGCGGUGAAAUGCGUAGAUAGUCUGGAGGAAUACCGGUGGCGAAGGCGGCAUCCUGGACCGAGAUUGACGCUGAUGAGCGAAAGCUGAGGGGAGCAAACGGG